rnacentral:rRNA from 1 species
UACGUAGGGUGCAAGCGUUGUCCGGAAUUAUUGGGCGUAAAGAGCGUGUAGGCGGCCCGGUUAGUCCGCUGUGAAAGUCCAGGGCUCAACCCUGGAAUGCCGGUGGAUACUGUCGGGCUAGAGUCCGGAAGGGGCGAGUGGAAUUCCUGGUGUAGCGGUGAAAUGCGCAGAUAUCAGGAGGAACACCAAUGGCGAAGGCAGCUCGCUGGGACGUGACUGACGCUGAGACGCGAAAGCGUGGGGAGCGAACGGG